CAGAAAACAGAAGUUGCACCCACACUCUUUCACGUUAGAAACCAGAGGAAAAGAGAGAAGAGAGAGCUUGAGAGAGAAGAGGAGCGCCGCCGCCCAAGCCGCCACCACCACUCACGACGCGCGCGCGAGAGAUAGCUUGCGAGAGGGAGAGAGAUCGCGAGUGGAAGAGGGAGUGACCGCGAGCAAGGCAAGGAGGUUUGGACAGCAGGAGAACCAUCUUCUUUCUUUCUAUUUUCAAGCUCUAAAACAAGCUAAGGGCUGGUCCUAGAACUUGGGUAGUUUGUUAGGAACUUGUUGCUAUGUUUGGUUGUGAAGAAUCUUGAUUGUUGAGGGUUUGCAUGAGGGUUUGGGUUGAAGAUGGUCGUGAAGAUAACGACGACGACUCAUUCUUGGGAGUUGAUACUACGUGACGAGCCACUACUGGAUGACGACUACACUCCUGAAGAAGAGGAAGAAGAUAAAGAGGAAGGGGCCAAGGAUAUGGUUGGGUUGAGAGUACCGAGUUUUGGAAGCAUUGAACCAUUACUUUAUUUUAGUUGAGAUAGUUUAACUUGAUGUAAUUUACUUUGAAGUUUUUCAUACUCUUUUCACUGAUUAAUAAAGUUUGAGGUUUACGUUGAUGAUUA